CUGCAAAGCAAAACAUAUAUAAGCUCAGUUGUAAAUCACACUUCAUAGUAUUUGAUGGAAAAUGUAGUUUAAUUUGUAAAUAAACAUGAAAUUCAUUUUGUUCGUAGCCUGCUAGAAAAAAUAAAAAGAAGCAACUUGCUUGACUUGUCCACGUAUGAAUAUGAUCAAAGAUAAAAUUAAUUUUCAAAAUAAGGAACAAAAAAGGAAAGGGUUGAUGAUGUAACAUCCCAAGAAGAAAAAAUGGGAAUAGAAGGACCAAGUCGAAGACAUUUUUUUUUUUUAGAUAUGGAAGGGAAAGCUUGGAAAUCUUAAAAGGAAUUAAGAAAUCGAGGGUCCAGAUCUCAUCCCCUAAUGGACGGCAAUGUACGAAACCCACGGAUGGAGAGAGGGAGCAAAAUUGAAAGAAAUUCAGGAAGAAAGGAGAGCAGAGCAACCAAGCAGAGAAGCAUCUUUGGCUGAGAGGAACUUAAAAGAGGAAGAGAGUCAACGGGAUUUAUUUCCGUCUCGCAAAUCCGAGAGAUGGAGUAAAACAAGAUCAACAUACACGGUGUUUAGGAAA